AACCCAGCUUGUGUCGCAGUUAGUUCAUAAGCUGCCUGAUGUGUGAUUGGUUUCUCUGGUCAUGUGAUUUCAGAGAAACGACUCAGAGUUGGUACUUAAAGCUGAGAGGACAGACAGAGAGAGGACAGACAGAGAGAGGACCGAGAGAGACAGACAGAGAGAGAGGACAGACAGAGAGAGGACAGACAGAGAGAGGACCGAGAGAGACAGACAGAGAGAAGACAUUUUCAGUUCUGCUUCACCUUCAUCUCUUCUCCAACAGAGAAACGACUCAGAGGCUGAUCAGAACGACAGAGAGAGGACGUGAGGACAGGAGGACUCAGAGCUCAGAGGUGCUGGACCUGCAUCAACUUACAGUGUGAUUUAAAGUCAGCUUCUUCAUCACUCUGAAGAGGAGAUCUCAACACUUCAGGAGGACCAGGAGACAUGGAGAUGGCUGCAGAUGAAGACAGAACAUCAGAAUAUAUUGUUAUAGGAGUAACAGCAGUAGGAAUAGGACUCCUGCUCCUUGCAGCUCCGCUCACUAAGGGGACUAGUUUAGCAUUAGUAGCAUCAGUAGGAGGAAUAGUAACAUUUGUAGCAGCAAGACAACGAAAUAAUAGACAAUAGAAGAGCUGGGGAAAGACUUCAUGGAGAUUGUUGAACCGCUGAAGAACAACCUGGAAGAAAUAAAGAGGAUGUGUGAGAAGUUGGAGCAAAGAUCAGCUGGAGAUCAGGCUGGAAAGACUCUGACAGACAUGGAGGGGUUACAGAGGAUUCUGACACGAGUUUCUGAACUGGCAAGAAGGAGUAAAGAACUUUUAUCUUUCACUGCAAUCCUAAUGGGAGAUAUUCAGGGCAUGUUAUUGCUCCUUGUGGAAGUCUUCAGAGUCACUGCGACCCCUGAAGAGGAUGAAAAGUUAGUAAAGUCCAUCAUCCAGUCAGCUGAUCUCUGUCAGGAGGUCGUUGUCAGGUUUGAUCAGAUGAAGGAAGAACUCAAAGACUUCACUGAAAAAUAAAGACAGAAGCAGCAGGAGAAGAGAAAGACUGGUUCACACUGAAACUACUGACUAACUGUUAGUGUUUGAUCAUUAUCUAACAUACUGGACUCAUAGUAACUGAAUCAGAUGAUCAAUAAUACUUUAUGAUAUUUCAUAUGUUGGACUGUUGAACACUGAGACUGAAUUAUUGUAUUUUUGGUUGAUACGCCUCUUCAACAUUGCGUGGACGUUUAGGACAGUGUCU